rnacentral:lncRNA from 1 species
CACAGAAUCCCAAUCAAGAAUCGUAAAAGUUUAAAACUAACACCCCGUCACUCAAGUCCAACUAAAAGCCAAGGUCCCAAAGAAUGUCCACACCCUUCUAUUUUAUUCACUAUAUAUUUUUUAUUUUUUUUUCUUUUUAUUGGUGAUUAAUUGCUCGGUCUAAGGUCAGAGCGCUUCGCAGUGUAAAUGCGUUACGAACACCACAAGACUUCACACACCAAUUAUUCACUCUAUUCUAGUGGUUUAUUUAACCGUGCAAUGGUUGAGAUCCCUAAAGAUUUAUGCACUAGUACCCAUGUAGCGAGUGUUGGGUCAACAAUCCCAAACCACGAAGGGCUUUAGGUUGUUAGGCACAAAGUCCCCUCAGACUUAAUUACUCGAGUACUAAUGAGCUCAACCUAGUUAAUU